UUCGUACUUCCCUGCAAAUUAGUGAGGGCUCAUGGUUAACAUUAAUGACAGAAACAUUUCCUUAUACACCUGUUCUACCAAACUGGAAAAACACCAAAGGAAAAUUCACAAAUCUUGAAACAGUCUUGAGUGUAAAUAUCCUCCAAACAGAAGCCUGCCUUAUUCCAUCUCUACUUCCAGAACCUCCCUUUCAUUGACCUCACUUCUGGUUCCUGUCCUUAGCCACAUCUCUUCCUCCUCAACAGCUGUAA